rnacentral:rRNA from 1 species
AGCGAACGCUGGCGGCAGGCCUAACACAUGCAAGUCGAACGAAGUCUUCGGACUUAGUGGCGGACGGGUGAGUAACACGUGGGAACGUGCCUUUAGGUUCGGAAUAACUCAGGGAAACUUGUGCUAAUACCGAAUGUGCCCUUCGGGGGAAAGAUUUAUCGCCUUUAGAGCGGCCCGCGUCUGAUUGGCUAGUUGGUGAAGUAAAGGCUCACCAAGGCUACGAUCAGUAGCUGGUCUGAGAGGAUGACCAGCCACAUUGGGACUGAGACACGGCCCAAACUCCUACGGGAGGCAGCAGUGGGGAAUUUUGCGCAAUGGGCGAAAGCCUGACGCAGCCAUGCCGCGUGGAUGAUGAAGGUCUUAGGAUUGUAAAAUCCUUUCACCGGUGAAGAUAAUGACUGUAGCCGGAGAAGAAGCCCCGGCUAACUUCGUGCCAGCCGCCGCCGUAAUAC